rnacentral:tmRNA from 2 species
GGGGCUGAUUCUGGAUUCGACGGGAUUUGCGAAACCCAAGGUGCAUGCCGAGGGGCGGUUGGCCUCGUAAAAAGCCGCAAAAAAAUAGUCGCAAACGACGAAACCUACGCUUUAGCAGCUUAAUAACCUGCUUAGAGCCCUCUCUCCCUAGCCUCCGCUCUUAGGACGGGGAUCAAGAGAGGUCAAACCCAAAAGAGAUCGCGCGGAUGCCCUGCCUGGGGUUGAAGCGUUAAAACGAAUCAGGCUAGUCUGGUAGUGGCGUGUCCGUCCGCAGGUGCCAGGCGAAUGUAAAGACUGACUAAGCAUGUAGUACCGAGGAUGUAGGAAUUUCGGACGCGGGUUCAACUCCCGCCAGUUCCACCA